AUGACCGUCAUCAAUGCCUUUUCCGAGCUUUCUGCGUCCAAUUUCCACAUCAUCAACACAGCCAAUGUCGUGCUUCUGCCUAAAAAGGACGGUGCGGAGUCCAUAUCGGAUUUCAGGCCCAUCAGUCUCAUCCAUGUGGUUCCGAAGAUCAUCGUCAAAGCUAUGGCACGACGUCUCAGCCCGAAGAUGAACGACAUUGUUUCCCGCAGUCAGAGCGCUUUCAUCAAGUCUAGAACUAUCCACGACAAUUUCUUGUACGUCAGGAACACCGCCCGCCGGUUACACCGCUGCAAAACUCCAUCACUUCUGAUCAAAUUGGACAUCGCCAAGGCCUUCGACUCUGUUCGCUGGGAUUACAUGCUGGAUCUUUUGCAAUGCCUCGGCUUUCCUCAAAGAUGGCGGGCCCUCCUGACGACUCUCUUCACCACGGCCUCCUCUAGGGUUUUCCUCAACGGAAUCCCUGGGAGGGACAUCAUGCAUGGACGGGGUUUUCGUCAGGGCGAUCCCAUCUCGCCCCUUCUGUUCGACAUCGCCAUCGACCCACUUCAGAGACUUCUGGAAAAGGCUACGGAAUCCGGCUUGCUGUCUGCUAUGCCUGGAGGUAUUCAGGGCCCCAGGGUCUCCCUAUAUGCGGACGACGCUGCCAUUUUUCUAUCCCCCACGGCACAUGAUGUGGAAGGCCUUGCUAGCAUUCUACAGAGUUUUGGGGUAGUCUCUGGCCUCGUGACAAAUGUGACCAAGAGCUCCAUCGCCCCCAUCCAAUGCGCCAACAUUAACUUGGAGGAGAUUCUGGCGAACUUCCCAGCGACUACAACCCCCUUCCCCAUUAAGUAUCUGGGGUUGCCCCUCUCCCUCGGAAGACUUAGGCGUGUGGACCUUCAACCCUACAUCGACAAAGCGGUGGCUCGUCUUAGCCCGUGGAAAGGAAAGUUCCUGAACCGUGCCGGGUGCACUGCUCUGGUUAAGUCUGUGCUCUCCUCCAUGCCAAUCUUCCUGCUGACGGCUUUAAAGGCUGACAAAGGCAUCCUCAAGGCCUUUGCGAAGAUCAGUCGUGGCAUGCUCUGGGCCUGUAAGGAGGCGGUUAGUGGAGGGAAAUGCAAAGUCAACUGGCAAAAGGUCUGCCGCCCCAAGGAGCUCGGUGGUUUGGGGGUUUUGGACCUGGAGAGGUUCUCCCGGGCCCUGAGGCUUCGCUAG
rnacentral:rRNA from 1 species